UGAUCAGCUGUUUUCAUUGAAGCUUGUUUGGAAAAGCACUUUUAGCAUACAAGUGUCCUGUUAAAGUUUACUGACUUUGCGGAAAAUGAUAAUUUUUGAUAUGUAUUUUGUCCCGAGCAUGAAAUGUAUGAUGUUUAUGCAUUUUAUGGACCAAAUCAGCCUAAAUAUAAUAUCAUAAACAAACCAUAAACCAGCCGUCGCCCCAAACACUCUGUCAGCCGCCCGUUUUGACAGCUCACGCACACCGGCGCAGGGUGGCACCAAUACAGGCGCGAAAAAUGAAAGAAAUUAACUUGCAGUUGUGGAAUGGCGAACAGUAUAAAUUUGAACUUCGACGAUGCAGGAUUUCUCUGAAAAAUCAAUUUUCCCCCUAGGUCGUGGAACGGUAGUGUUGUCAGUGUUGUGCGGUUUUAUAGUGAAUGGUUCUGUGGAUCUGCUGGCAGCUGCCCUUCUUAUCACCACCAGCAGGAGCAGCUUUUCAAGUGCACAGGAGGGAGAGGGGCGGCGUACUCGGGUGGCCGGUGGAAAGCCGAAGGUGAAGCUCAAGUGGCCGGGCUACGGUGCUACCGGAAGUGGAACCAUUUUUUUCUCCGGAAAGUUCUGAGCGGGCUAGAAUAGAAUUUUGCUGUGCGCAUGGUUGACGGAUUGCGGUAGAAUUUUUUUUUACUGUGAUGCUCCGCAUGGAAAAUGGAGGAAAUUGAUGUCCCGUAGACGACCGACAUGUUGGCGCUCGACCGGAAGUGGCUCGUCGGAAGAAAAGCAGGCCAGCUGCAGUGUCAGAAGGUUCCGCAGCAGGGGAGAUCGUUGAAUGUUACCAUUCAGUAGAGUUGUAAUAGCUGUUUGAAAACUGCGCCCACAGCAUGACUUCACGCUUGGACCGGUUGUUUAUCCUGCUGGAGUCGGGAUCGGCAGCGGUCACCCGGAAGGCGGCGGCGAGGUC